rnacentral:sRNA from 1 species
UGUCAGCGUAACCCUAACGUGUGGGUGA